GCCAGUAGUCAUAUGCUUGUCUCAA
rnacentral:rRNA from 1 species